UACAGAGGUCUCAAGCGUUGUUCGGAUUCACUGGGCGUAAAGGGUGCGUAGGCGGUCGGGUCAGUCUGAUGUGAAGUCUCGCAGCUUAACUGCGAAACUGCAUUGGAUACUAUCCGGCUUGAGGAAUGGAGGGGAGACUGGAAUACUUGGUGUAGCAGUGAAAUGCGUAGAUAUCAAGUGGAACACCAGUGGCGAAGGCGAGUCUCUGGACAUUUCCUGACGCUGAGGCACGAAAGCCAGGGGAGCAAACGGG
rnacentral:rRNA from 1 species